GCUUCAUCAUACAUUCCCUAACUGCUUCCUGAAAGCUGGAAAAGGAGAAGUGAAGGAUGACCGCCUCGCUGGAACCACAAAAGAGAGGCUUGGAGGGGUUUGUGGUCCCCUCUCAGCCACCCCGAAAUGAUGUGCAGAAAUGAGGCGAUCCUGGCAACAGGUGGAGUGGGGGUCAAAGCGCCAAGUUAGCCCAGAUGGCAGCAAGACGAUGGAACUUCUCCGCCCCAACCUGACGGCAGAUGCCGCCUGAGUCCACCUCAGGGCGGCUCCUUGCCCUCCCUCACCCUGGUCCUGCCUCAGGAAGCUGACUGCUGGGAUCUGCUCUCUGCGCGCGGCCAGCAGUGGGCUCAAAGUCAGAAAAUGAGAUACAAGACAUCCUUGGUGAUGAGGAAACGAUUACGGCUUUACCGAAACACUCUUAAAGAGUCAAGUAGCAGCUCUGGACACCAUGGCCCCCAGCUCACCGCCGCCUCCAGCCCCUCGGUGUUCCCGGGCCUCCACGAGGAGCCUCCCCAGGCCUCCCCCAGCCGUCCUUUGAAUGGACUCCUGCGUCUGGGGCUCCCUG
rnacentral:lncRNA from 1 species